rnacentral:rRNA from 1 species
UACGAGGGGGGCGAGCGUUGUUCGGAAUUAUUGGGCGUAAAGGGUGCGUAGGCGGUUUGGUAAGUCUUAUGUGAAAUCUACAGGCUCAACGUGUAGUCUGCAUGAGAAACUGCCGGGCUUGAGUGUGGGAGAGGUGAGUGGAAUUCCGUGGUGUAGCGGUGAAAUGCGUAGAUAUCAGGAGGAACACCUGUGGCGAAAGCGGCUCACUGGACCAUAACUGACGCUGAUGCACGAAAGCUAGGGGAGCAAACAGG